rnacentral:lncRNA from 1 species
UGUCCCGGGCAGUGGUGAAUGGUUCUCGGUGACGCAGGCUCCUAAACAGUUGAACAGACGCUGCGCUGCCGGCCUACGUCAGGGGAGACCAAGCAAACAGCGCUGCGGGAACCUUGGCUUCCCAACCCGCGGCCUUGUCCCUGCUGCACUCAGCGUGGGCCUCAGGGUGGGUGCUGGAGGCUGCGGAAAGUGGAGAUCGUGUCCUGCUGGAUCCUCCUGCAGCAGAGACUCUUCAGCUUCCAGAAAGGAUCCCCCAGCCUUCAGACAUAGACUCUUCAGCCUCCUCAAACACACUCACAUGGGACACUGCAGUGAGAUCCAGACCUUGGACUGGGUCCUUUGGUCUCCAGUGCUGAGACAGACCCUCUGCACUCUUCCUCAUCUGACUCUGUGGGUGGCCAUUGCAAGCCAAUCUUGUAAAUUCAUAUAUAUUUGUGUAGCUUGUGUUUUAUCUGCUUCUCUAGUAAAUAUUGACUGAUACACUGUCUCCAGCAGGCCUCUUGCCUUCUACCCCACCCCACCCGCAUGUUCUGUUUUUUGGUGAG